UGGGGAAUAUUGCACAAUGGGGGAAACCCUGAUGCAGCGACGCCGCGUGAACGAAGAAGGUAUUCGUAUCGUAAAGUUCUGUCCUAUGGGAAGAUAAUGACAGUACCAUAGAAGAAAGCUCCGGCUAAAUACGUGCCAGCAGCCGCGGUAAUACGUAUGGAGCGAGCGUUGUCCGGAAUUAUUGUGCGUAAAGGGUACGCAGGCGGUUUAAUAAGUCGAAUGUUAAAGAUCGGGGCUCAACCCCGCAAAGCAGUGGAAACUGAUAAACUUGAGUAGUGGAGAGGAAAGUGGAAUUCCUAGUGUAGUGGUGAAAUACGUAGAUAUUAGGAGGAAUACCAGUAGCGAAGGCGACUUUCUGGACACAAACUGACGCUGAGGUACGAAAGCGUGGGGAGCAAACAGG
rnacentral:rRNA from 1 species